rnacentral:rRNA from 1 species
UACAGAGGUCUCAAGCGUUGUUCGGAAUUACUGGGCGUAAAGGGUGCGCAGGCCGCGCGGGCAGUCAAAUGUGUAAUCCAGGGGCUCAACCCCUGAACUGCGCUUGAUACUUCCGUGCUCGAGCUUUGGAGAGGAGUCUGGAAUUCUCGGUGUAGCAGUGAAAUGCGUGGAUAUCGAGAAGAACACUUAGGGCGUAGGCAAGACUCUGGACAAAUGCUGACGCUCAUGUACGAAGGCUGGGGGAGCAAACAGG